GCUAGUUGGUGCUUUCUCCGGGACGGAAACGUUAGCCAGGAGUAGCCCAGGAGCCCUAGCCGGGAGAUGGGUCUAGCAUGGGCUAGCCCCAGGCUAGUUGGUGCUUUCUCCGGGACGGAAACGUUAGCCAGGAGUAGCCCAGGAGCCCUAGCCAGGAGAUGGGUCUAGCAUGGGCUAGCCCCAGGCUAGUUGGUGCUUUCUCCGGGACGGAAACGUUAGCCAGGAGUAGCCCAGGAGCCCUAGCCAGGAGAUGGGCCUAGCAUGGGCUAGCCCCAGGCUAGUUGGUGCUUUCUCCGGGACGGAAACGUUAGCCAGCAGUAGUCAACCCGGGUUGCGGUUAGGUAGCUGCCAUGAUCCAGAUGAAAAGGGUUCAGAGUUUGCGGUAGGAAUCCGGGGAAUUGAUAGUUCACCUCUGUAUUUUGUCACUCGCUGAUCUGUUUCACCUGUCUUGUGCUUGUCUCCACCUCCCCCUCCUGGUGUCUCCCACUUUUCUCCACUAUCCAUUAUCCCCUGUGUAUUUAUACC
rnacentral:lncRNA from 1 species